rnacentral:rRNA from 1 species
AUUGAACGCUGGCGGCAUGUUUAACACAUGCAAGUCGAACGGUAACAGGCCCUUCGGGGUGCUGACGAGUGGCGGACGGGUGAGUAAUGCUUAGGAAUCUGCCUAGUAGUGGGGGAUAACCCGGGGAAACUCGGGCUAAUACCGCAUACGCCCUACAGGGGAAAGCGGGGGACUUUCGGGCCGUCGCGCUAUUAGAUGAGCCUAAGUCCGAUUAGCUAGUUGGUAGGGUAAUGGCCUACCAAGGCGACGAUCGGUAGCGUGUCUGAGAGGACGACCAGCCACACUGGGACUGAGACACGGCCCAGACUCCUACGGGAGGCAGCAGUGGGGAAUNUUGGACAAUGGCGCAAGCCUGAUCCAGCGAUGCCGCGUGUGUGAA